UUCCUCCUUCAUCUCCACCACCACCACCACCACCACCACCACCUCUACCUCCACCACCACCAUUACCUUUUCCUCCCCCUACAGCAAUAGAGUAAACCUCUUGCCAGCCAUCGCUUUUCUCGGUUUGCCUCAACGUCAAGGUACGUCUAAGAUAUUUUAGAGAAGCCCGUAUUCUAUCUACCAUGGAAAGCCUGGUCGGCUUUUAAUUUUCCCUUUUGUGACUGUCGUUGACAGUACAUUGUAAUUUCCGGUUCCAACGUCGGUUCGCAACUAAUUGGAUGACCUGGGAAGGUCGGUUCAGGAUCUGUUUAGAACAUAGCACACGAGCGCACGUGCAGAAGUAACGAGCGACGUAGACACGGUUAGCAAAGAAGACCGAGAAAAGACUGAAAAAUCUAUUUUCCGUUCGUCGAUCUUAGUCGAUGGCUUCGUCGUCGCUGUUAAAUCGCAUAAGUUUUUCGUGAAUCGAUGAAACCCAAUCCAAUUCGCAUAAUCUUAUAUCGAUUAUGUUAUCUCUUCUUUCUUUGUCCCUAUCUCUCUCUCUCUCUCUCUCUCACUCUCUUUCUUUCUCUUUCUCUCUCCUUUUUUCUUUCUCUUCGUAACAAUGAAAAGUUUUGUUUUCAUCUUUUUUUCUUUCUUUCUUUCCUUCCUUCUUUCUCUCAUAACGCAGAUAUCCAUGUAGAAUUUACAUAUUUAUGAAAGAAAGAGAGAGAGAGAGAGAGAGAGAGGGAGAGAGAGAAGAAAUCUCGUCACAAUGUUUUCAUUGAGUCCAUACGAAACGAAUGGAAAACGUUUCGUUGAUGCUUAAGAAAUCACGAUUGGUUCUUUGAAUUUCUAAAAGUAAAAACUUCAAGGAAACAAAUGUCACGUUUAUUUUCUUCAGAUACAUAUUUUAUUAUCUCGACAGACGUACUCUCAUUACGAUACUUUAAUUAAUCAGAAAUGUCAAGAUUCGUUUCGGAAAGUUUAAUGCGAACUCGACCCUUUUUUUAUUUUUUCUCUAAUCAAUUGUAAUUAUCACGAUUAGAUUCGGUCAAUUGAGAUGAGCGAAAUGUAAUAGAUUAAAAAAUCAAAGCGUAGAAUUAAAUUCAUUCGUUAACGACAUAUAGAAAAAAAAGAAAAAAAAAAAAAAAAAAAAAAAAAGAAAAAAAAAAAAAGAAAAAAAGAACAGUAAGUCUAUUAAUCUCAAUUAUUUUACAAAAGAAGGAAAAAAUAAAGAACAUUAAAAAUCAAUGAUAUCAAAUAUUCAAGUUUAACAAAGGAUAAAUCUAAUAAAUUGACGUCGAUCAUGUUUAUCCAAAUGUUGGUGAUUUUGAUGAUGAAUUGAGUGGCUUGAUGUCAUGAAGUUGUUAAUAGUCGAACGAACGAACGAGUACUUACUUACUUACUUACUUACUUACUUACUUACUAACUUUAGAUAUAGAGGUAAACGUAUAGUGUUUGAUGAAUGAGUAAAGGGUUCGAACGAAAGCUAUUACUCUGAUAGACAAAGAGAAAGAGAUAAAGAGAUAGAAGCGAGGAUGGUCAAAACGAUAGACCCUCCGGAGGUGGGCCUUUGGAGAAGUUACAUAGAAAUCCACUCAACGUUUGUCGUGAUCGGCACUCGGAUUUCUGACAGAAUGUUGUCAAAAAAAAUACAAAAAAAAAAAAAAGAAAAAAAAAAAGAAAAAGAAAAAGAAAAAAAGGAAAAGCGAAUCACCGUUAAGUCGUUUACAGCUUUCAUUGGUUUUCACGUUUAGUAUUAACACGUUUAUCGUUUUUUUUUUUUUUUUUUGAUUUUCUAAUAAAAGAGAGGAUGAAUCCUCAUAAAAUUUCAACCACGAAAUAUCUUUCAUCUUUUACUUAAAAAUCUUUAUACACUUAUGUACAUAUAUUUAUAUAAUGUAUAUCUUCGAAAAUCGAUCCUUCGAAAAUUUCUAUCCGAAAGUGAUGCUUCAAUUUUUAUUUAUCUCAAGAGCCUCGUAGAUAUAUCCUUUUCCCCGAACGAAUUUGAAAUAUCGUAGAAAGGCCAAGCUUGCAUUUCCUUAAAUCCAUUUUAACGAAAUAUUUCAAGUAUGGUUAUAGAAGCGUACGCGGUAUCGACAGGUAAAUAACGCUUCCUUUUUCGCGUAACAUCGGAUUGCUCCUUUUAUCAAAAUGGAAAAUGUAUUUUUUUUUUUUUUUCUUUUUUUUUUGUUUUAUCGAACUGCAUACCUAUAUUACAUAGUUUA